rnacentral:rRNA from 1 species
UACGUAGGGUGCAAGCGUUAUCCGGAAUUAUUGGGCGUAAAGCGUUCGUAGGUGGUCUAACAAGUUUGCAGUUAAAUCUGGUCGCUCAACGAUCAACUCGCUGCAAAAACUAUUAGACUUGAGAUUGGCAGAGGCAGCUGGAAUUCCACAUGUAGGGGUAAAAUCCGUUGAUAUGUGGAGGAACACCAAAAGCGAAGGCAGGUUGCUGGGCCACAUCUGACACUCAAGAACGAAAGCGUGGGGAGCAAACAGG